CGCGAAUGGCUCAUUACAACAGCUAUAAUCUACUUGUUCUAUUCGUUAAACGGAUAACUGCGGUAAUUCUGGAGCCAAUACGUGCACAAAGGCCGACGUAGCAAUACGGCGGCUGCACUUAUCGGAGCAAAAUCAAUCUCGAUUAAAUGCUAACUCUGGAUAACCAAGCUUAUCGCACGGCGCAAGCCGGCGAAGUAACAUUCGAGUAUCUGCCCUAUCAUCUAUCGUAGGUAGUGUAUUGGACUACCCAGGAUGUAACGGGUAACGGAGAAUCAGGGUUCGACUCCGGAGAGGGAGCCUUAGAAACGGCUACCAUCGCUAAGGCGAGCAGCAGGCGCGCAACUUAUCCACUGUCCACUCGGACGAGAUAGUGACGAGAAAUAACAAGCCCGUUCUCUUUGAGGUCGGGCAUUGGAAUGGACCGAAUGUAAACGAUUCGGUGAGUACCCACGAGAGGGCAAGUCUGGUGCCAGCAGCCGCGGUAAUUCCAGCU
rnacentral:rRNA from 1 species